rfam:Myotis lucifugus cont2.3997, whole genome shotgun sequence.
GGCAGUUCUCAGGUGAUGCACACUGGAGUCAGGCUCCUUCUUCUCUAGUUCCAGGUGCAUCACCAGAGAACCGGA